CUGGCCUCAAAUCAGGUGGGACUACCCGCUGAACUUAAGCAUAUCAAUAAGCGGAGGAAAAAAACUAACAAGGAUUCCCCUAGUAACGGCGAGUGAAGCGGGAUGAGCUCAAAUUUAAAAUCUGGCAGUCUAAGAUUGUCCGAGUUGUAGUCUAGAGAAGCGUUUUCCGCGUAGGCCUGUGUACAAGUCCCUUGGAAUAGGGCGUCAUAGAGGGUGAGAAUCCCGUCCUUGACACAGAUCAUCUAUGCUUUGCGAUGCGCUCUCGAAGAGUCGAGUUGUUUGGGAAUGCAGCUCAAAAUGGGUGGUAAAUUCCAUCUAAAGCUAAAUACUGGCGAGAGACCGAUAGCGAACAAGUACCGUGAGGGAAAGAUGAAAAGCACUUUGGAAAGAGAGUUAAACAGUACGUGAAAUUGUUGAAAGGGAAACGAUUGAAGUCAGUCAUGUGGUUCGAGAUUCAGCCGGUUCUGCCGGUGUAUUUCUCGAGCUACAGGCCAGCAUCAGUUUCGACCGGUGGAAAAAGUUGGAGGGAAUGUGGCAUCCUCGGAUGUGUUAUAGCCCUCUUUCACAUGCAUCGGACGGGACUGAGGAACGCAGCGUGCCUUUAUGGUCGGUCUUCGGACACGAACGCGCUAGGAUG
rnacentral:rRNA from 1 species